rnacentral:rRNA from 1 species
UAGUGGCGAACGGGUGAGUAACACGUGAGUAACCUGCCCUUGACUCUGGGAUAACUCUGGGAAACCAGGGCUAAUACCGGAUAGGACCUGCCUGGGCAUUCGGGCGGGUGGAAAGGUUCCCUUCGGGGUUCUGGUUGGGGAUGGGCUCGCGGCCUAUCAGCUUGUUGGUGGGGUGAUGGCCUACCAAGGCUUUGACGGGUAGCCGGCCUGAGAGGGCGACCGGCCACACUGGGACUGAGACACGGCCCAGACUCCUACGGGAGGCAGCAGUGGGGAAUAUUGCGCAAUGGGCGAAAGCCUGACGCAGCGACGCCGCGUGGGGGAUGAAGGCCUUCGGGUUGUAAACCUCUUUCACUUCUGACGAAGCAGCUCUCGGGUUGUGACGGUAGGUUGGGAAGAAGCGCCGGCUAACUACGUGCCAGCAGCCGCGGUAAUACGUAGGGCGCGAGCGUUGUCCGGAAUUAUUGGGCGUAAAGAGCUCGUAGGUGGCUUGUCGCGUCUGCUGUGAAAGCCCGGGGCUUAACUCCGGGUUUGCAGUGGAUACGGGCAGGCUUGAGGUAGGUAGGGGAGACUGGAAUUCC